CUACGGGGUGCUGCAGUGAGGAAUAUUGCACAAUGGGGGGACCCUGAUGCAGCAACGCCGCGUGGAGGAUGACGCAUUUCGGUGUGUAAACUCCUUUUAUAUAGGAAGAUAAUGACGGUACUAUAUGAAUAAGCACCGGCUAACUCCGUGCCAGCAGCCGCGGUAAUACGGAGGGUGCAAGCGUUACUCGGAAUCACUGGGCGUAAAGCGCGCGCAGGCGGCCCCUUAAGUUGGAUGUGAAAGCCUACGGCUUAACCGUAGAACUGCAUCCAAAACUGAGGGGCUAGAGUCUGGGAGGGGAAGAUGGAAUUAGUUGUGUAGGGGUAAAAUCCGUAGAGAUAACUAGGAAUACCAAAAGCGAAGGCGAUCUUCUGGAACAGUACUGACGCUGAGGCGCGAAAGCGUGGGGAGCAAACAGGAUUAGAUACCCUCGUAGUC
rnacentral:rRNA from 1 species